CUUGGCUCUAUCAGUUAUGCCUCUAUUCUGUAUGUUUAACCUCGCCCUCGUAGGGGCAUAAAACAGCAUUUAAACAGGAUCAAGCUUUCCAUUUUAAAACUCCAUACACUCCCUUAAUUUCAUCUCCUCCUCCACCUACUGCCCCAUGUCUCUCCCUCUUCCUGGCUAAACGUCUCAAAAAAGUGGAUACACUUUCUGUCAACUCCUAAACACUCCUCACGCUCAUUUGGCCUCUGCUCCUCCCUUCCUCCUCCCACUUCAUUGGAACUACUUCUGCCAAAGAGGAUCCCUGAGUCAGCCUGACUGGUAACCCCAAUGGACUCUACUCAAUAUGCAACAUCCUUCACUUCUUAGCAGAGUUUGAAACAGCCUGACUCUCCUCUUCUGGCAACAUUCUUUUCCUUGGUUUGGGGACGCUGUACUGUUCUGGUUUUGCCCCUCCCUCCGAGCAUUCCUUGUGUUUGUCCUGGCCCAUUUUCUCCUCUCAUUCUACAUCCUCUCCCCGGGGAUUUUAGCUUCUCUCACGGCUCAGGUUACCAUCUCCAUAGUGAUGACUAUCAAAUUCUGUACCUCAUUUCCAGAGGCUCCUGACAGACUUGCUUGGUCAAUAUACUACUGGACAUAUUCAUGAGACUGUCUCACACAGGCAUCUCGAACCCAGUGUGUCCCACAAUUCUCUUCCUAUCCAUGCCUGUUCCUCUUCCACUGCCUCAUAUGUCGGUGACUGUCCACCUUCUCUCUCUCUCCCCCUCUCCGUUUGGCUCAUAGGAAAAGUGUCACCAAGGGCUGUAAGUGCAGAUUUCUAAUUAUCCCCUAAAUUUGAACAUUUUUCCUCUCGAAAGUGUAUGGCCAUUACCCUAUUACAGAUCAACAUCUUCAAUCACUGGAAUGAUGGCAAUAAUCUAAUUGGGUUCAUUUUAUCCUCUAUCUAACAAUGACAACUCAUUGCCUACACAGCAGGUAGAAGGAGUUUGUUUUCAGAAUUGCCCUCUGACCUAUUUAAGACGCUCAGAUAUUCCCUGAGGCUCCUUGGCCUGGCCACAAAGGCCCUACACAUUCUGGCUGCUUCCUCCUUUCCAGCAUCCUCUCUCACGUCUCCUCUCCUCAGUUCCACCCUCAGGAGGCACCAGAAUUCCUCACUUCUUUGACUACAAGGCACCGUCUUACUCCCAAGACCAGUGAAUCCGAAGGUGGACCACCAGCUGAGGGACUAGAUUCCAGACUGAAUAGAACAACUUUCCCUGUCUCUCCACAUAAAGUGUGUUUGUUUUUCCUCUUACAGGUUUCCUUAAUGACAACAAAAAAGGGAGUAAUCCUACCCACUGUAAGAGUCAUGACUCUUGAUUGCAGCUGACAGAAACUCAUGACAGCCUGCUUUAGAUGAAGGGGGAGAGAAGGACUGGAAGAAUCUUGGAGUUGGGAAUGUCACACGUAAUUGAAGGAAGAACAAGAAAACUAUAAUUCUUCCCCUGGAGGCUGGAGUUUCCAGGAUGUCAAAAUUACCUCUGCUUGGGUGAGCUAUUUCAAGCAGCUGGGAUACCUGUGUC
rnacentral:lncRNA from 1 species